CCUACGGGCGGCAGCAGUGAGGAAUAUUGGUCAAUGGGCGCGAGCCUGAACCAGCCAAGUCGCGUGAGGGAAGACGGUCCUAUGGAUUGUAAACCUCUUUUGUCGGGGAGCAAAAGACGCCACGCGUGCCGUUCCGAGAGUACCUGAAGAAAAAGCAUCGGCUAACUCCGUGCCAGCAGCCGCGGUAAUACGGAGGAUGCGAGCGUUAUCCGGAUUUAUUGGGUUUAAAGGGUGCGCAGGCGGACGAUUAAGUCAGCGGUAAAAUUGGGAGGCUCAACCUCUGCGCGCCGUUGAAACUGGCUGUCUUGAGUGAGUGAGAAGUAUGCGGAAUGCGUGGUGUAGCGGUGAAAUGCAUAGAUAUCACGCAGAACUCCGAUUGCGAAGGCAGCAUACCGGCGCUCAACUGACGCUCAUGCACGAAAGUGUGGGUAUCGAACAGGAUUAGAUACCCGGGUAGUC
rnacentral:rRNA from 1 species